UACGUAGGGUGCGAGCGUUGUCCGGAAUUAUUGGGCGUAAAGAGCUCGUAGGCGGUUUGUCGCGUCGGGAGUGAAAACACCGGGCUUAACUCGGUGCUUGCUUUCGAUACGGGCAGACUAGAGGUAUGCAGGGGAGAACGGAAUUCCUGGUGUAGCGGUGAAAUACGCAGAUAUCAGGAGGAACACCGGUGGCGAAGGCGGUUCUCUGGGCAUUACCUGACGCUGAGGAGCGAAAGUGUGGGGAGCGAACAGG
rnacentral:rRNA from 1 species